UUGUGCCCGAGGCCUUCUGGCCGAGGGCACGCCUGCUUGGGAGUC
rnacentral:rRNA from 1 species